ensembl:lncRNA
CUUGAAAAGGCAGUCAGGAGGAGCAGCCUGGAAAUCUGCAGAACAGAAGCACCUAAAGAAAGCAGAUUUCAUAUUGAUUAGUCUCUUCCUUAAGUAUAGUGGACCCACCACAGGGAUGAAUGUCAUCUUUACAGAGGAAGAAAAAUAACAGGAAGAAUUACAUCGUGCGGCAGUUUUUCAUUGCGGUGAAUUUAAGAGUGAGGCACAACAUGUGUUUUACUGGGCCUCCACCUCUUGCUUGGAUCCUUCUAGGUGGCUGUCAGGCAGACACCGAGCCAAGCUGAUGGCUUUCUGCUUGCAGAGGGAACAGCUCACAGGUAGCCUUACAGAUUCAGCAGGACAUAGUGCUGGAGACUGUGGGUCCAGCCUCAGCUCAGGGAAAGAUGUUUCCUAUAUCCCAUCUGACUCUGCCAAGCAUUUGGUCACUAAAGUGAUCUGUGAGAGCAUCUCCUUUCCUCAUUGCUGGCAAGAGCUUUUGCAAGUGGAGUUCCUCUAAGAGAGUUUAUUUUGAUGAAGUUGGAGUGUAUGUUUAUGUUUUUCUUUGGCAGAAACUACAUGUAGAUGUCCUGGGGUUUCAAGAUAACUGAAAUUGCCUUUUUAAUAGCUAGACUAUUUGCUCAACGUCCGCAUUGCUGUUUUGCUUUCAUCUGGGAUAGAGUUAAAUUUCUUCCUAGUAGCUGGUGUGGUGCUGUGUUUUGGAUUCAGAAUGAGAAUAGUGUUGAUCACGCAUCAAUAUUUCAGUUGUUGCUGAGCAGUGUUUACACUAAUUCAAGGACUUUUCUAUUUUUUGCACUGCUCUGUCAGCAAGAGGGCUGGGAAUGGGCACAAGAAGCUGGGAGGGGACAGAACCAGGACAGCCAUUCUAAACUGGCCAAAGGGAUAUUCCAUACCAGAUGGUGUCGUGCUGAACAACAAAACGGGAAGGAGUUGGCUGGGGGUUGGCCACUGGUCAGAGUUUGGGCUGGGCAUCAGGUAGUGGGUGGUGGACAACUGGGAUAUGCGUCACUUGCUUUGUUUAUAGUUUUAUCGUCAUUACUAUUUCCUCUUCUUUUCCUGUCCUAUUAUACUAUCUUUAUCUCACACGGCGAGGUGUACUGGUUCCUGCUACUUCUGGAAGCAAGGUUACCCAGUAAAGCUGAUACCGUUCUGCCAGUUCUCUCAUAGCUGCAAGAUUGUCUACCAUGCUUUGAACUCAGGAAAUCUUGUUUUUGAAACAUGCAACUCAGCAGUCAUGGAAGAGAGAAAGCUGUGGAAGAGGAAUAGAGGAGGGCUGCCCACCUCCUCCUUCAGAUGGGAAAGUCCUCACAGUUGUUUUCCCGCCAACCACGUCUGAACAUUGGAAUCUGCCCCAAGUUUCUGCGUGAGUUGAUGAGAAGAUGUGCUUUGGGCUGAUGCUAAUAAUUUUGAUUUCUGGGACUGGAAAUAAAGACAAAAAGGCACCUUAAUUCUAUCCACUAAAUCUUCUCAGAGGAAUUCUCUUGGCCUCUUCUGUUACAAGCAUCAUCCUUUGGUUUUCUCUUCAAAACUAUUUUAUGUACUGGGAGUCGUCAUCCCGGGAGGCAUGAACAAGAAUCUGGUGACAGGAGCAUCAUGAAGUUCAAGACUUCAAAUGUGAAGUCCUGCACCCUGUAAAUAGUGACACCAUGCAACAGUACAAACUGGGGACAGGCUGACUAGAAACUAGCUUUACAUAAGAGGACCUAGAGGUCCUGAUGGACAUCGAGCUGAAUGUGAGUCAAGAAUGUGCCACUGCGUGAAUGAGAGCCAAGCACAAAAGACACUGGGCUGCAUUAGUAACAGCAGAGGCAGUGGGUUGAGAUAGCCAGCAGAGGUGAAUAUUGCACCCCUCUGAGGAGAAGAAAAUCCCCCAGGCAAGCAGAGAGCAAGAUUGACAUUUCUCAUUAUUUCUGUACUCCAGGUAAUAUAUAUAAACUUUUUUUUUUUUUUUCCCUGGGAGCCCUUCAAACCAAGCAAAUGAAGACAUUUCUUCUGUACAGUCAACGACACUCCAAAAGGUCUGAUCUGCUCUCUGAAAUUUCCCCUGAUUUUGCUGUGGCCCUCAGGCUGUAACUCAGUGAUCUCAGGCACACAACGUGGCUAUCCCAAAAUCUCAAGUUUUGCUUUGACCAAGUAUUUACCAUAACGAAUAGAAACUAUUCCUUGAACAACAACGUCUUUUACCACUUGCAAAUCUCCAUCUAAUCUGACUGUCCUUAUCUAUAAGCGGAGAGAAUGAAAAGCAGGGAUAUAAAACCCAAAGGUUAAGUACAUAUUUUUUGCAACUGUUUAAUGUUCAGCAUUCUCAUGUUGUGAAGAACAUGCAAAGUUUCUGCAUUCUUUCUAUUGGGUGCAUUCGUUACCAAAGCAGACUUGCUAUCGGUUUGGGAUGUAAACUGACCUGGUGUCACUGCAAUUUGCCUGUUUUCAUGUGUGUGUUUGGUUUGCUUUUGGCAUACAGGCACUUACGACUGAUCCAAAGUCAUUCAAAAGCUCAGCAGAUGCUUCUGUGAAUCUCUUCUAUGUUUAGAAAUGGAAAUGAAGCACGAAACCAGGUGCUUUCUGUGCUGUCCUGAAUUAUGGAUUUUAUCCUUCAUGUUAUAACACAGUUUACUUGUCUUCUGGUUUAUCAUUUUUGAAGAAGGUAUGAGGUAAAAUACCAAGAUCUCCCUGACAGAGUCUUGUAGGACUCCAGGAACUGCUGUCUUCUGUACGGGUCCUCUCCAAUUCAACAGCACCCUUUCAGCUGACAUCAAAAGGGGAGAUCAGAAAAGAAGAUUUUCAGAGUCUCUUCCUCUAACUCUUGCAACUUACUCUUGGGAACUGGUAUUAUCAGAUUUCAGAGACUAAACUGACCUCUCUGUAAGCUGAGCUCAGAAGAUGAAGGCCAAUAAUGGGAGAAGGAGCACAUCUCAAGGCAAAAGGUUUAACCGUCUGCCUCUUGGUAACCUGCAGGAAAUCCACCAACCAUCAUUUCAUUUGCAGCGAUUAAAGGUGAACAAUAUAGCUCUGUGUAGGAUUUCUUGUAUUUGAGACACAUUUAGUUAAUUAUUACCUCUUCAUUUAUUUUCUACUCUAGAAUAAGUCUCGCUGUGGGAAGCAGGGUGUAGGAAACACGAGGUGGUGCUUUUCAGCGACAAACCUUCAACUAUGGCAUUGUUUUUCAUACUUGCAAUAUUCAGCCACAGUAUCCACAAGGGAGGUACCACAAUUGCAAAAUGCUAUUUAAAAUAAUGGCGUGUUUUAGAAGAGCUUCCAAUGUCUCUCAUAAUAUUUGCAGAUAAUCUCAGUUUGCCAAUCUGUCAAGUAAUUAUUCUCCAUCUGUGAUAUCCAGUGAUAACCAGUUAGACUUUCAAAUUCAUUUUUACCAACAUUGGUGAGCUCAUCACUCGCCUGUUGAAAGAACAGAACACAAACAUUAAAAAAGUGCAAAGGCAAUGUAUUUAUUAUUGUAGCAUGCAGUCAAACCUGCAUAAUAACUACUAAUUAAAGUGUUAAGGCCUUAAUUUUAGAAAGACAGAGAGGCUUUCUGCUUUUGUACAGUACCAUACACACAUCAUUUUUAUGCUUUGCUUUCUGUGAUUAGUGACCAAGGCCUGGCAUGAGACAAUUUUACUUAAUCAGCUGUAUGCAUUAAAUACCAGCAGCUGCAAUUAGACAUUCUUUUGUAUCACAUACUACGCCUCACGCUGCUAUUUGCUCCUGACCUUGGCAGGCACUUCUGCUGUGUUUGGAGAGGAGCACAGUGAAAUUCAGAAUUCUUUUUUUCACAGCCUGGAUGUUGGCAGAUGUGCACACACAUUCUUGCCCCACAGACCAAACAGAGCAACUUCAGAAGUGCAGCAGGAGUUCCUUUAAAACAGACUGGGAAGGAAAGGUGGGAAUGAACGAAACCUCUACCCCGUGCCUUAACACUUUUGAGUACGAUGUUGGUUUGCAAUGCUUACGUAUCACUUUGGACAUUACACAUUGGCACUGAGUACCUAAAACAAGAGACUUGAGCUUUCCAUUUGCUUUGCACAUCUGUUUUGUCGGGUCCUGUGCUCGUAGCAUUUUUUCCCAGCUGCAGUAUCACAACUGGACACUAGAGAGCUCCUUUUACCAAAGACAUCUCUCCAACGUGAGGGCAGAGCCCUGUGAGGUGCGUACAGAGCAUUCCUCCUUUUUUAUAUAACACGGUUUUACUCAUUCUUCAUUUUUAUGUUAAAAAUUAAUAUUCUCAAGGGAAAGCUAUCUUUGCCAGAAAGAGCAAUGGCUGCAGCUGUAGCUCCACAUCUCCUACCCCCAACAAGACAGAGAUUUCAUAGGAGUAGUAACUUGGGAACUAAUUACACAAUUUCAGAGAUAAGAAAAAGUAAAUCAAAUGCUGCCAGCAUGGAAAUUAUAAUUAAGUUUUUCUCUGAAUAACAAAUACACUCCAUAUGUAAUUUAUUAUGACUAUUACUAUAUUAAUAAUACUAAUAACCUAUGCCAUGCACCUAUGGAGAGUACAUGUUUUUGUCUAAAUUGCUGGGUUAUAGUCGCAGAUGCAGUAUGAAUGCCAAACAGCUCUCUGCAGUCAUUCUGCUGAUAACCUUAAGCCUUACAACACCCAAGCUAUUGCUAAACACUACUCUAUUAGCAAGUGAUAUAACAGGAUGACGACUGGAUCUACUUUUUUCAUUAGCUGUGUUUGACCCGUUCCCCCAGUUGCCUUUACCCUAUCAAUCAUUUAUUCAAAACCAAAACAAAAUCUCCUAUGCUGUCACUGUAAGGGCAUAUGCGUUCCUGCUCCUCUGAUUUUGGCAUAAGCACAGUCUGCUGCAAGAUGCUGUAAUGAUGUGACAUCUUAUCAUAUUGCCCGUUAGGGAUUUUGCGUUAGGGUUGAUUUACAGAUAGCUGUGUCCUGAGGUCAGCAGUGAGAGGGCACAACAUUUUGUCUCCAAAGCAAAGCCCCGUCCCACUCUUACCUCAGAAUCUUGGAGUGCAAAGAUUGAAAAAGCCCAUAGGAAAUCUUCAGAAAGGCUGAGGAAAGCCUUGCUCCAGCCCUCCCUGUGCUCCAUUGUGGUUCUUGGCCAGGGCAGAGAAGUACAGCUUUCACUGCAGUGCUUCCCAGUAGUACCGCCGUGCCAAUGGCUACGUCCUUUGCUCUUGCCUACUCAUCCCAGUAUGAACUGGGAACACAAGAACCAGUGAAAUCCAGAGUGCAGAGCCAACCUUCCCCAAUCAGUUGUGUGCCUCGGAGGGAGGAGUGGGCCUUGCAAGUGUGCUGUCAGCUCCUGCCUGUGUUCCCUGCCCAAGGUAGCUUUGGGCACACCUCCUAAUUUUCCUGCACCUCUGCUGCUUCAGAUGUUUUGUGUGGUGUAGCUAAAAGUCUCAUUUUCUUCCACCAUUUCUUUGCCUUGUUCCCCUGCUCAGUCUGGGAUCUGAUUGGUUUUACCUAGAAAGCCAGAGAAACUAUGUUCUGAAUUUCGAGGGAGCUAUUCUUCCAGGACAGCCCAACUGUAUUAAUGACAGUGAGCUGAAAUGUUCCACUGACAUCUCUUUACUUUGUUUCCAAAACCAGCAAGAGACGAUAGUAGCUGAGCCAGACUUUAAUGGUAGCUUUUCUUUGUUCUUUUCAACCCACAGUCUUUUGAAAAUGUAAUGGUAAAAGAUAGAUGAGAUUUUCAGCUUAGGGCAGCUCCAAACAGGCUGGCCAAGGAGGUCAGCGUGGGAAGGGGAGGCUGCCUUUUGAUUCAUCUGAAAGUCAUCUCUUACAAACUGCUCGGUGUGAGCCUUGGUCAGGUCAUUAUGCAACUCUGACGUUGUCCAUGCAGAUCAGGGCUCCAGCAUGGCACUCAUCAGCUCUCUUCCUAAACCACAGAAUCAUAGAAUGGCCUGGGUUGAAAAGGACCUCAAAGAUCAUCGAGUUUCAACCCCCUGCUAUGUGCAGGGUCGCCAACCACCAGACCAGGCUGCCCAGAGCCACAUCCAGCCUGGCCUUGAAUGCCUCCAGGGAUGGGGCAUCCACAACCUCCUUGGGCAACCUGUUCCAGUGCGUCACCACCCUCUGGGGGAAAAACUUCCUCCCAGUAUCCAACCUAAACCUCCACUGCCUCAGUUUAAAACCAUUCCCCCUUGUCCUAUCACUAUCCACCCUCAUAAACAGCCAUUCCCCUUCCUGCUUAUAUGCUCUUAAAUGACCUUGAUGCACCCAGAAAAUCCUCCCUACCUUUGAGAAGGGAGAGCCUCUAAUGAUAGCAACUCUAACGAAACCCAACCAUAGCUUGCCAAACUGCAGCUAACAAAAUCAAAGGGCGUGGUGAAGUCAGGGCUAGCGUGUCUCUUACAAAACCCCAAUUCUCAAAAAACUGUUUUAUUGCUUCCAGCCCUGGGAGCUCACGUUACACACUGGACAAACCUAGCAGGGCCCUGUCAUUUGUCAGUCAGUGUUAUGGCACGACAGGAGCCUGAAAAGUUAAAAACCAGUUUAACGAAUUAAAAAAUUUAAUGGGAUUCCCAUUAAGCUCGUCUGGGAAGUUUCAUCUGGGAGAACAAAGAAGGAAAUACCGUGGGAUAUGUUUUCUUUGCGGGGAGGAUACGUGGUCCCCACAGGCAAGAACAGCAAGGUGCUCCCUGGAGAGAGAGAGAAGCCUGCAAUAUUUCACAAAGGAAAUUAAAAUGUGAUUCCUGUCAAGUCACCCCUUAUGAGUCCUCCUCUUCUCAUUAACGUUUUGGACAGUCUGAUAUUCAGAAAAACAAAGAUGCUAACUGUGGCUGUCAGUUACUUUUCUUCCUUAAUUUUAUUUUGCAUCAGCUGACCAGAGAGCAAAAUUUUUGCGAGGCAUCCAAGAUCUCAGCAUUGGAGGAACUCUUCAUAGAAACUGAAUUUAACAGCUCUGCCAAUUCAGCUGGCAGAUGUGUUUAUUACAAUGACAAAUGCCCUGGGACCUUCUAGUCCCCUUUCUCUAAAAAAAUCCCACUUUUGCUUUAUUCAUCUCUCCCCAAAAUAUUUUAGAAGGCGGACUCAGGAAAAAUGACUCGCUUAGCAGAAUUUGUAUAAAUUAUUACUUAAUGAUCGUGAUCCAUAGGCUAUUCUUUCCAUCAAGAUGUAAGCCACUGCCAAGCCAGACUAAUAGGAGUUUAUAGACCAGCAGUGAGUGUAAGCAGUCUCAGUGACACGAAUACAAACCCAGCAGCUCAGCUUACUGCAGCUUAGAAUGGAUUAAUGUCCCAUGGCAGAUGCCAGCCUCUUGCCAAAAAGACUAACCCAGUCUUUAUGAAUUUCCUGUUCCUCACAAUGGUUGAGCUACGUCAAUACUGAGAUAACUAGAAAUAGACCCAACUUCUUCAAUGUCGGACUGCGCCCGAAUUUUCCUUGAGGCUCUUCUACAGCCCUUGCCUAUUCAGAGCAAGCUCAGUAUGUUCUUUUACUGAUUUCAUCAACAGAUCCUUUUAAGCAGUGGUAACCCUCAGGAAGCUAAUUUGUUUUCUCUCCAUCUUUUCCCAAGGAAGAAUUAAGAGUGGAGAGGAGUACUGUGGUUUGAUAGAGUGGUUUGUUUGCUAUUAUUAUUGUUUUUGUUUGCACCGGAGAGCGUUGGCCUUUUGCACUGAGAUGAUGAUGGGGAUCAUGGAAAUCCUUCUUUUUUUUCUUCUUCUUCUUCUUUUUUUUUUUUUUUUUUUUUUCCCAGGUUUUGCAGAGAAACACUCAUUAUUCUUGCAACAGAAUCUAGGGAAGCUCUGUCUCAGCAUACAUGACCUCUACUGUACAAAGAAAAAGGUUGCGUUGUGCCUGAGGAACAAAGCUCUGGAAUUAAGUCUAUAACAGCUAAGAUAUGCUGGGCCACGGAGCAUCUUUGCAAGUCUCUAAACAGCCCACAGGAAAAUCUCAGAAGGACCCUGUGAGUGGCAGUUAUGUAAGAUGAAACUCGAGCCAAGCCGUUGGGUCCCAUAUUCCAGGGACGGGAGAAAAUGGCAGGUGUGAUGAGCUGGGGCUGUCUGCGUUCAUGGAGUUUCUGUGCUGUCUGGAGUUUCCUCACUUGGAAGGUUUCAUAUGUUGAUGUUUUGCAUUGCUCUGGACACAACGAAAAGUAGGAAAGCACAAACAAGUGAACCCAGAGCAUCAUAAAGCAGCCUAGAACUAAAUUUUUGGUCUAGUGGAGGCGACAGAAGACACCACUGAGAGGUUUCACUGAGCUUUAGUGACAGUGAGCACCCUGGAAAUGCUUGCAAAUUGGCUGGGUUUGAUGCCUGCUUCUUCCAGGCUGCAAAAGCUGUCCAGAAAUCUUCCAGAGUCCCACUGCAGGGACCCUAGGAGUGCUUCAGCAGAAUUGCAGAUGACUUCUGGCUUUGGCCCGUAGCCAUGGGAAAUGAGAAGAUCCAGAAUUAGGCAAAACUCAGUAUUUUCUUUCUAAUUGUUUAAAAAUACAGGUUAUAUGUUCCUAUUAGCUGAGAAGGAAGCUAGAGCGGCAUCAGGCUAGAGAAUGGAGUGCAGGUGUGCAUAAAGAAACAUAGAGAACUCACCUCCUUGGAGAGAAGAUGUGAUCCCAGAGCCUGGGAGGAAGGAGCCCUGUGGCACCCACUAACAGGAGGAGCUGCAAUCCUGAGCUUGUGUUUGCCUGCGGGGAGAACAGGAAGAACACUUGUAUGUCUCUAUAGAGCAUUUCAGGCAAGCCAGAAGUUUGUACUCAGGUAGAUGAAUAGUCAAGUAACAUUAGUAUAUGUAGCUCUUAUCAAUAACCUUGCCAAACUCAUUUUGUAACACAGCCGUAACCAUGCAACAAACUGCUAUGUGAGCUGAAACAGGACAGAGGGGAUUUUACUUGAAACAAAACAGGGUUUACACAUUCACAUACCUUCAUGCUUCCAAACACCAAAAUGGAUGGGUCCAGGUGCUCUGGCCCAGGUGACUUGUGGUGGUGAAGAUGGAAAGGGACAUCUGUAGGCAUCUCAACAUGUCGCCUAGGUUCUCCACGGACUGGAAGCCAAGUGCUGCUCUUGGAUCUCCUAAGAGUUGACAGUGUGAUCUUUUGUUUCCUCAUCCUGUUCCACCCCUGGCUUAGUAUUUGCUUUUCUGUCCUUAUCUGGGUGUUUUAUGGCUCCUUGCCUGCUUUUUUCUUCCUUUCAUCACUUCUUGAGGGCUCUGGUUUAUUAGCCUGUCCUUCAUUUUGCUCGCUGUGUAGACUGUCUUCGGUUUUAGGAGGUUCUGGUUAGUCUCACACAGACCCGUUGUCACCUUGAUGACCUGCUGGCUGAGGUGCCAUCUGCACCUACCAUUCCGCUCUUCUCUCUGGCAUUCCCACACUUAGGUAAUCACUUUCAUUCAGAAAGUUCUUUAUAUUUUUAUUAAAAAUUCCUCACGCUUUGCAACAUAUGUUAUCUGUCUACAGCAGAUUCUCAGGAGUGCAGAUGACUACUGAAGAAGCAAGGACCUCUAAGGAGGGUCCACUUCAGCCCACCUCCAGUCUGAGGGUCAUUUAGACAUAUGGAACAACGCAGAGAGAAAAGGGAGCACUGAAAAGCUGCUCCAGUAAUUCCCAGCUGCCUCUUCCCCACUCUACUUCCUCCUGAUGCUGCCCUUUUCAGUUGGCCACUGAACUGGGGUUUCAAAUUAUUUCUCUCGAGAAGCUGUACAGAGUUUUAUUGCUUUGAUUCUAACUGAUCUAUUGGCUGCCUGCGCAUUUCUCAGCCACUUUCUGAAAACAGCAGCUGGUACAGAUGAUGUUUGCAGGUGAAAAGUGGAGCUGCCUAAUAGCUUUCCAGCUGAUAUAGCACCAGCACUGGAUUAGGUCAUUGUAAUGGCAGCUGAAAACUUUGCUUUAACACAGCUUGAGCAGCUCGGUACACCUUGGUUUAGUGAGAAGAAGCAGUGUCCAGCGUGGCUGGUUGAGGUACUGCUGUAUCUCAAGUGUUUGUCCAACACGAGCACCAGAAAGUUGAGCACAGUGAAAUAAAACCAGAUCUGCUUGCGAAAACAAAAUGGAAAAAAGUCACCUGAAAGAAAAAUCCAUAUUCCUUUCUCAGUAGCUUUUAUGAAAACUUUUUCCUUCCUCAAAUUACAGUGACUCCAUGUGGCUUACUCCACAAUGCAGAUUUUAAUAUAUUUUUACUAAAAUUUAUUCCAGCUGUUGCUAAUCAUAGAGAUAUGAAUAAUAUUAUUAUACAGAGAAAAAUCUUGACUAGACUUGGUGCAGAUUUAUUCAUUUGUAAUUUUUCCAUCUUAAAUCCAAAUAUUAAAAGCCAGAUGAAAGGAAGGAAAGGUAAUUGUAACCGCUGGCUUCUACUUCACCAUGAUGAAAUUGAGCUUGCUCAGUAAUCAAAGAAUAAGCGUAGAGAUUUUUAUCAGAGUAUCUGAUUUUAUCAGACCAUUUGCAGGGACUGCAAUUCAAUAGAAACCGGGGAUGCCAGAUCUUUCGUAUAAAUCACUUUUGGGAGAGGACUGCUGCUGAGCUCCAGCUCAGACAUGCCCAGAAAAAAAUCAACCAACUGAAGUUGAAUAGGGAACACACUGGGGGUCUUCAAACUCUGUCAUUAUUGCAGCAUGUAAACUUCUAGGAGGCCAUUACAUUGAGAAAUGUGCUGCCAGCUCUGAAGGCUGAGUCCAGUCAUAGAAUCAUAGAAUGGUUUGGGUUGGAAGGGACCUUUAAUAUCAUCCAGUUCCAACCCUCUGCUAUGGGCAGGGACACCUCCCUCUAGACCAGGUUGCUCAAAGUCCCAUCCAGCCUGGCCUUGAAUGCUUCCAGGGAGGGGGCAUUCACAACCUUUCUGGGCAACCUGUUCCAGUGUCUCACCACACUCACAGUAAAUAACUGCUUCCUGAUAUCUAGUCUAAGUCUACUGAUUCAGUUCAGUCCUUGGUCGAAAAUGCAUCCUUCACCUCACCAAAGUCAGAUUCUUUUUCACAACCCAGUGCCUCCGUACAGUGGUGUUAUGAAUUCCAUCCACUAAGUAUGGAUCUGCGUUCUGUGUCCAAACCUAUUUCUUAUGCCGCAUUUACUUCCAGUGCCCAACCAUACAGAAAUUUACCCAUGCCUUUGCACAGCAGGAAGCAUAUGGUGCCUGAGUUACUCAAGUCCAUUUCUCAGGAAAGCAGUCCUUUAAAAACAACUGUCCAUCAAGGCCCCCUCUUCAAACAGCCUCACAUUCAUGCUGUUCUGCUUGUGGUAAGAAUCAGUGUUCCAGCUACAGCAAAAAUGCAGUUUGCACUGUAAGAGGAGGAAAUAAAUGUCGGGUCAUCUAAGAGUCCUUCAUUCACUCAGCCAAAAAUGAGACUACCCUGAAUUUUCCCUUUUUCAUUUUUGUGGUACUGAGUCAUGAGUUGAUUUCUUUGGGAAAAAAAAGAGAAGAAAAUCUAAAACUGUCUUGUAGUUAAUCGGUAUUAGAUAGAUGGCUAAGUGACAGCUCAUAUGACUCAGGCCCUUUAGGCUGCACUUAUCCCUUGCUCUCAUGCUAUAAAACACGCUUUUCCAGACAAAGGCAAGACUGAGAACUCUCUUCAGCUUUGGGAAAGUUCUGCACUGCUCAUGGAGAAGGAAAACUGCAGAUCCACACUGAAUCAGAGAAGAAAAAUGCUCUCUUCUCCACUCCCCACCCCACCACGUGGCUCCACACCCCCAAAGCAAGCGCACAAGAAUGUUGAGACGCAUCACUACCCUUUGUCAACCACAAGCCCCAGUCACUUUGCACACACUGUCCCACGCCUCCCCUCUCUGUCAAACCACGGAUGCUGCAGCCACCACGGGGGCUUAAAGAACCUCUCCAAUCCUGCCAUUAGACUAAAGCUUAAAGUGGGUCUCUCCAGAGGCGGAAAAGGAAUUUGUUGUAUGAGCUGAAAAAAAGAUUCCCUCUAAUCCAGUAACAACUAUGGCAAGCUUUUUUUCAGCUUGAAAUCUCUGGUUUUACACGAGCAUAUGAAGCAGGUGUCAAAUGGAUCUAAAAAUGGGUCACGGAGGAUUCUGUUGCUCGCCAUCUGUGUCAGUGGUGGGGAACGCACAUCCACAGGGAUCCACGGGGCACCGCGCGGUAUCUCCUUGCUGAUACAGUUUUGUAGGAUGAAGGGCUUUGUGUUUCCAGUAGUGAUACAUAGUGCGCUCUGUGUCUACUCAGGGGAGGUGGUUAAUCACAGGGCUGCGGGCUGAACCUCAAGCACUAAAACCUACUGAAAAGGAAAGGUCGCCCUGGGGACAUCAGAUAGCUUUGUCUCCUGAGGAUCACAGGUCCAGAAAAAAAGCUGCAGGGUACUGAGGGCAAGAAGUUUCCUCUCCUGCUUGUGAUCCUUCCAUCUCUUAGCCGCAGUUGAAAGUGAAGGCAGAAACUUGAGAAUUUCCACUGGGCUUUAGGAAGACUCUUUGCCAAAGACAAACUUCCUGUAGCCUAUACUGACCUAGAGGCAAGUCAGUAUGGUAACGAGUAAAACGGAUCAUCAAUUAGAUUGCUCUAGCUCAGCCCAGCAAAGCAUUCCAUCUUGGCUCUGUUGCAGUGCUCCCGGUAACUCCAAAGCCCCACUCCUAUUUGGCUGCACAGAGUGAGGGGCUCUGGGCUGUGCAGAUCGCUGCCUCGCCACAGCUCCUCCAGCACAGACAGCACGCUGCUUUAAUGCCAAACUCAGCUCCAGGUUUUGCAGCACUCACAGGAUCACCGAGGUUGGAAAAGACCUCUGAGAUCAUCCAGUCCAACCGUCAGCCCACCACCGCCAUGCCCACUGACCACGUCCCCCAGUGCCACAUCCACGUGGCUCUUGAACGCAAGAUGGCAAUUUCCUUCCAUAGCUUUUUUUUUGCUUUUAGCAGUAUGAAUGCAAUCUGCACCAACCAAACAUUGUAUGCUUGGCAGAUAGAGUUUCAUCCUAGGGCUAUUGAAAUCAAUUGUGAAACCGUUCAGUAACUGACUACAAGCAGAAAUCAAUUGUACCAGUUACCACAUGGCUUAGUUGAAAUGUAAAAUUAUUUGUUCAGAGAGCAAGAAACUAUUUACUUGUGCUGCUUCUGAAAUCUACCUCUAGCUGUGACCAGAUGGUAAUUUAACUUUUAAAUUGUAUUUACUGCAUUCUUAUACUCUAAUCAGUCGGUGCAAAGCCGAACUCUUCUGAAGUCCGCGCUUCAGCUUCAAACUUAAAACUUUUGCAGUUUCUCUCUGCCUUUGAGCUGUUGCCAUCCUCAGACAGUAACACAUCAAUCGUCGCCCGGCCCUUUGAAGUGUAACAGUUCAGAUGUGACUGCUGCGCGCGUAGCCUGCCGUAUGUUCCACCGUGAGUGGAGGCUGAGCCUCCCUACUUCACAAGUAACGAGCUCCGCUCAAUUAGCAGAGCGAGUUCUUUUUGAGCGUUGUGUGUAAUUAGUUUCAAGGUCUUCGGUUUUAAUGGCCAUUUGUUAACAAUCUUUUUAUAUCGCUGGCACGAAACUUGUGAUUCAAAUACAAGCAAACAGCCAAAAAGCUGGAGUGCUCGACUACACGUGUGAUCCCACAGCUCAGAUCUCCUCUUCUGAGAAGCAGUUUGGCUUUACAUUUCAGAAGCGAUGACAUGGCUGCAUUAGGUAAAGGCCCAAGGCCCGCGGGAGCAGGAG